UUCCCCUCUAAAAGCUUGAAAAUACCGGGUUUGGAAGCCCUGAGGACGCGGUUCCCCUCUAAAAGCUUGAAAAUACCGGGUUUGGAAGCCCUGAGGACGCGGUUCCCCUCUAAAAGCUUGAAAAUACCGGGUUUGGAAGCCCUGAGGACGCGGUUCCCCUCUAAAAGCUUGAAAAUACCGGGUUUGGAAGCCCUGAGGACGCGGUUCCCCUCUAAAAGCUUGAAAAUACCGGGUUUGGAAGCCCUGAGGACGCGGUUCACCUCUAAAAGCUUGAAAAUACCGGGUUUGGAAGCCCUGAGGACGAGGUUCCCCUCUAAAAGCUUGAAAAUACCGGGUUUAGAAGCCCUGAGGACGAGGUUCCCCUCUAAAAGCUUGAAAAUACCGGGUUUGGAAGCCCUGAGGACGCGGUUCCCCUCUAAAAGCUUGAAAAUACCGGGUUUGGAAGCCCUGAGGACGAGGUUCCCCUCUAAAAGCU